rnacentral:tRNA from 1 species
GGGAAAGUAGCUCAGUGGUAGAGCGCUUGCCUUGCAUGCAUGAGGACCUGGGUUCGAUUCCUCAGCACCA